GCACUGCUUAGGAGUCCCACAAUAGGACGAAACGGCCGUCCAGUAU
rnacentral:hammerhead_ribozyme from 1 species